GCAGUCGUGGCCGAGUGGUUAUGGCAAUGGACUAGAAAUCCAUUGGGGUCUCCCCGCACAGGUUCGAAUCCUGUCGACUGCG
rnacentral:tRNA from 1 species